UACGUAGGUCCCGAGCGUUGUCCGGAUUUAUUGGGCGUAAAGCGAGCGCAGGUGGUUUAUUAAGUCUGGUGUAAAAGGCAGUGGCUCAACCAUUGUAUGCAUUGGAAACUGGCAGACUUGAGUGCAGGAGAGGAGAGUGGAAUUCCAUGUGUAGCGGUGAAAUGCGUAGAUAUAUGGAGGAACACCGGUGGCGAAAGCGGCUCUCUGGCCUGUAACUGACACUGAGGCUCGAAAGCGUGGGGAGCAAAUAGG
rnacentral:rRNA from 1 species